UACGAAGGGGGCUAGCGUUGUUCGGAAUUACUGGGCGUAAAACGCGCGCAGGCGGCUAUCCAAGUCAGUGGUGAAAGCCCGGAGCUCAACUCCGGAACUGCCAUUGAAACUGUUUAGCUUGAGGAUGAGAGAGGUGAGUGGAAUUCCCAGUGUAGAGGUGAAAUUCGUAGAUAUUGGGAAGAACACCGGUGGCGAAGGCGGCUCACUGGCUCAUUACUGACGCUCAGGCGCGAUAGCGUGGGGAUCAAACAGG
rnacentral:rRNA from 1 species